CGCUGGCGGCGUGCCUAAUACAUGCAAGUCGAACGGUCUUUCUAUGGAAGCUUGCUUCCACUGAGAAGAUAGUGGCGGACGGGUGAGUAACACGUGGGUAACCUGCCCAUAAGAGGGGGAUAACAUCCGGAAACGGGUGCUAAUACCGCAUAGUUUUCUUGAUCGCAUGAUCGGGAAAGGAAAGACGGCCUUUGUGCUGUCGCUUAUGGAUGGACCCGCGGCGUAUUAGUUAGUUGGUGAGGUAAUGGCUCACCAAGACGAUGAUACGUAGCCGACCUGAGAGGGUGAUCGGCCACAUUGGGACUGAGACACGGCCCAAACUCCUACGGGAGGCAGCAGUAGGGAAUCUUCCGCAAUGGACGAAAGUCUGACGGAGCAACGCCGCGUGAGUGAAGAAGGUUUUCGGAAUCGUAAAACUCUGUUGUCAGAGAAGAACAAGUUGGAGAGUAACUGCUCCAGCCUUGACGGUAUCUGACCAGAAAGCCACGGCUAACUACGUGCCAGCAGCAGC
rnacentral:rRNA from 1 species